UGAAAGUUUUAUCCUGGCUUUAAUUCUCAGUUUUAAAUUGGGGCACAUGUAAAUUUUAAUGUGACUAUAAUGGGGUAAUAAGAGUCUUAAUGACAAUUAUUUUAGAUUUUUAAAAAUUUUUAUAAUAAUUAAAUUCUCAGUGCCUAGUGCUAAAAGAUAAAUGAAAGUUUGAAUUGGUUAUUUUAAUUAAAUUAUAAUGACUGGUUAAAAUUUGUGCCAGCAGCCGCGGUUAGACUGAAGGUCAAAUUGAGAAGUUAUUGGUUAAAAGUAAUUAAAUGAAAUGUAAAAAGUUAAAAAAUCUGUGUUAAUAAAAGGUGAAAUUGAAUUUUUAGCUAGCAGAUUGUUUAUAUUUUAAAUAAAAGAAAUAUUGAAGUUACUAAGAUAGAGAUAUAAACUAGGAUUAGAUACCCUAUUAUACUUUAUUUUAAAUUAUAUUAUCAGGGUAGUAAACAGUUAUAAUCUUGAAACUCAAAGGAUUUGGCGGUAGCUUAGUCUGCUUAGAGGAACCUGUCCUGUAAACGACAAACCACGAAUUAUCUUACCUUGUUUUGUAAAUAUAUCAGUUUGUAUACCGUCAUUAUUAGAUAACUUUAUUAAAAUAUUAGUUAUUGUAAUAAGAAGUUCUUAAAAUAUUAGAUCAAGGUGCAGCUAAUAAUAAGGUAGAGAUGGGUUACAAUAAAUAAAAUUAUUACGGAGAAGAAGUAUAAAAUCUUUUUUAAAGGAGGAUUUAAAUGUAAAAGUAUUUUAAUAAGUUACUUUGACUUUAGCUCUAAGCUAUGUACACAUCGCCCGUCGCUCUCGUUAAUUAAAGCGAGAUAAGUCGUAACAUAGUAGGUGUACUGGAAAGUGUACCUAGUGGGCA
rnacentral:ncRNA from 1 species